rnacentral:rRNA from 1 species
AUUGAACGCUGGCGGCAGGCCUAACACAUGCAAGUCGAGCGGAUGAAGGGAGCUUGCUCCUGGAUUCAGCGGCGGACGGGUGAGUAAUGCCUAGGAAUCUGCCUGGUAGUGGGGGAUAACGUCCGGAAACGGGCGCUAAUACCGCAUACGUCCUGAGUGAGAAAGUGGGGGAUCUUCGGACCUCACGCUCUCAGAUGAGCCUAGGUCGGAUUAGCUAGUUGGUGGGGUAAAGGCCUACCAAGGCGACGAUCCGUAACUGGUCUGAGAGGAUGAUCAGUCACACUGGGACUGAGACACGGUCCAGACUCCUACGGGAGGCAGCAGUGGGGAAUAUUGGACAAUGGGCGAAAGCCUGAUCCAGCCAUGCCGCGUGUGUGAAGAAGGUCUUCGGAUUGUAAAGCACUUUAAGUUGGGAGGAAGGGCAGUAAGUUAAUACCUUGCUGUUUUGACGUUACCAACAGAAUAAGCACCGGCUAACUUCGUG